rnacentral:tRNA from 1 species
AGCGUCGUAGCUCAGCUGGUAGAGCAUGCGCGUACAAAGCGUAGGUGGCGUCCAUGCGUGGGUUCGAAUCCCACCGAGACUA